GGGACAAUAGUCUAGUGGUUUAAGAUACCUGGUUUGGGUCCAGGUGAUCCCGAGUUCGAAUCUCGGUUGUCCCC